GGAAAAGCACCAUCAAAGCGGCUCCUUCCUACGUCUGAGCGCCGAUCCGGUCACAGUUAAUCGGCGAACGUCACGACGGCUCUCUGAACAAAACGCCCUUCAGGUGAGUUUCCAGCUCCGACGCCCCACGUUCGCUUUUUAUGAAGCUUCUCGAGGAAACCCAAUCCAAGCUCUGCCCUCCUUCGGCUCCCGGCCGCAAACGGCCCCGCGGGCGGACAGACGGACGGCGUUAGGCCGCCUUCGCACCGGGGAAUCGCCAGAACCGGAGCGAUGGCCGCCUGCAGUGACAUCGAUGGGGGGCGGAUUUGGUGCCCCGAGACGUGUGCGAGUAAGAGCUCAGCCCCGCGCUGAUGGAAACGCGCUCACAGCCCGGUACGGUUUCACCGGUUUACAAACGCCGUCCAUUAAAACACGAUUAUUACCAAACGGCUUCUUUCUAUGCGAGAUCCUCAAAUCCGUUGUUUACAUUGCACCUAUAUUAACAAACCACAAAAUAAGCCCGUAGCGUUUUUAAGAGAGGUUUUAGGCUGGGAACGUGGAAACUUGCCUGGACGAAACGACACGGAAGCUGAAUGAAGGCGAGGAGAUUAUCUGUGUCUGAAGGUUGGGCAUUAGCCGCAAUGAAAAGAUUGAUUUUUCCGAUGCUUUUUCCCCCCCCAGACGGUUAUUUCCAAGGCUGCUGGCAGUGUAAGCUCACUCUCUGAGCAGAUACUGAAGCCCGUGUGUUGUAUGUAAGGGUGCUAUUCAAGGAGGAGGCGCUCAGUGCCGCAGAGUGCCUGCUGGCUUCGGGUGCACGUGUUCUUACAGCAUCACUCGCACUCGAAAAAUACUUGUUAUUCGUGCUCAGAAGUUACUCGAGCAUGACUUGCAGUGGAAAAUUGUGCAAAAAUAAUGUUUCUUUGCGAUAACUGAUCCCAGUCUGGUGUUUCAUAGCUGAUAGCCUGGAAACUUGCCUGUGCAGAGUCCCUCCCCGUCAGAGAUGUUCCACGAUGCUGAAGGAAACAGCGGUGAGGAGAAGAGGCGGAUGUGCAGGGGUUGUUCACAUGCUGAAAGCUUUGAGUCACAGCAGCUCUGACGCUUUUCUGAAGAAAUAGUUCUGCAAUCGUUACAGUUGCCACCCAAACCCUACCCUGGGUGUUCUAUGGCUUACAGCAACCUCCAAACUCGCACUGCGUGUAGUGUGAAUGCUGUGUCAGGUAAGCGUGUGUAAGUCAUCCUACAGCAGCCGGUCUGGCAAAACACGUCUGAUUUGGCGGUCAAGGAGGUGAGUCCCAAAACACAGCAAGCGAGGAGCUGGCUGUUCCGUUUGGGCUAACGGGCAUUUUCCUUACCUACAGCCCAGCUGACUGCCAGCUCCCGGCUCAUCCCCCGAUUAGGCGCUGAUGGGCGUUUUCUGAGCUAUUUACUAAGAGCUGAACAUAAACCACAAGUGCUUUUGAAUGCUGACCUCUCAUUUAUGUUACUUUCCGAACUGAAUAGCAUCUUAUGCGCAUUAAAAUAGUUUUUAAUAGAUGCUUGAACGAUAAUCAUGUAUGCAUCUUGUUCUCUUCUCCUUUUGGUCAACGCGAAAGCCGGGCUGUUGGAUGCUCCCAUUUGUUGGCCAGGAGUUCUCCUCAGGGCUGCUGGGCCCCAGCAGAGUGCUGGGCUGUGCAUCGGACCCCAGAGAGGUUCAGGAGCUCCUGCUGUUGUUCAACCUCCUCUGGCUUUGGCCGUCGGAGGUGUGUUACUGCCACAGCUGAGGUGGAAGUGCCACUGCGAGGACUUUCGUUGUCCUUGUUUUGUGAUGUUCUUAACUCCGUGACGUGGUGUGAAAGUUCCCCAUUCAUGGGUGUGAAAAUGCAUUCAGACUUGAUGCUAUCAGUCCCAGAAGUUCGAAGUACUGCUCGUUUCUCAUUGGAUAAGCAUAUAGACCACACAUUCCAUAACUGAAUGUCCUCUGCUAAGUUCAGGGGUUACUUGAAAUUAACGCUCAUUAUUCACUAGUAUUUGCACUAGUAAAGUACAAGUGCUCAAAUAUUUGCAGAAAGCAAAAGUGAAGCAGCUGUAAACAUGGCUGAAUUUGCUUCUGAAUUUUAAUGCAUAUUUGCAGAAUUUUGGUUUAGCUGUAAUGUGUGCGUGUCUAUGGUACAGAAAGCUUGUAAAUUCUGGUGCUUUACACUUCCCAGUGUGUAAACUGCAGCUAAGCCCGCUGGAUUUAACUUUUAUAUCCUUAGUUUAAAUGGAAAAAUACAGGCGAGUUUGAAAAAAACAAAAACAAAACCCUUAAAAAAUACACAGAGCAUCAGAAUCUUUACAUAACCACAUCGAUUAGUGGUCUGUAACCUUCGCUGGCGAGUGGGUACUGAUGGAAUAGUGUGUGGUUAACUCUUUCGUCCCCAGCAGGAGCAACGUGAAGAUUGAAUCCCAGGAUCCACAGUUCAGGAUGAGGUCUGUAAGUCACUAUUUCUCCCUUUGGUUCCAGAGAAGUGAUUCUCUGAAUGGAAGUUAAGGAAUUUGUGACGGUCUUCAGGAAGGUUUGCCUUAGCCAGAUGUUGUAUUUGCAGUGUGAAAACAGGCUGUGUGGGAGAGCCAUGACUUGGAGUGGGGAAGGAGGAAUGUAUCAGGCUUAACACACAGCAUAUGCUCUCCUUGCAGAAUGGAUUGGGUGACUCUGGGUCUGUAUUGACUGCUUAAUCGUAGUGUUUCUAGUCUGGGGGUGGGUACACUGUUAGGUCAUGGUAACAGUGAUGAAUUUGAAGAGGAAGAGUGGCCAUUUAUUCAUCCUACUUUUCUCCCUCUCUCAAAGGAAGAGGAAGCAAUCAGGAUAGAUAGAGAGUUGUGCUUGGAAGCAGUGAAAGAAAGCUGGUAGUAUUCUAGAGAGAUGUGAGGAGCAGAACUCAGGAAAGAGUGUUGGAUUUCAAAGGAGAACAGGUUGAUAAGAGCUGUCAAGCUUGGCCAGGGCAAGCUGUGUGGGUACUGCUGGAUGAUGCUCUCCAGAGACAGAGUGUGGCAUUGGUCAGCCACCUUUCAGCAUCCUCAGUGCAGGGAAUUUCUGUUUAGUUUUGCUGUUUUCUUAAUCCCAAUGGACCAGGAGAUAUCUGGAUGACAACAGUUUCCCAGGUUUCUAUGAAGGUCUUACAUCUGUUUUCCCAACACAUAAAAAAAGAUUUGCUCUUAUAUUUCUGCUCGGGGUUUCUGAUGCUCCCCUCUGCUGUCACUGCUUUUACAGAGCAAAAGUAGCCCAAGGAAUCUGGAAGAUGAUGGACACAGUGUGUACUGCAUGCUCCCACUGAGCUUAUGGACAGCCAGAAAAGCUGUAGAUGAAGUGGAAGAGUGAUGGUCUGCUGCCAAGAGCUGCAGCAUUGGAGAAUGUGUCUGUGGCAUUCAUGUGGUCAGAAAGUCAUACCAACUGUCUCCUCCCCAGACUCACAGAUUCUUCUCAGAAAGGGUCAUGUUUUCUGUUUUCCAGGCAUUUAAACACAUAGAAGGCAUUUUCUUGUUUCCUUGCUUUCCACAAUUCUGCAAGCAGAGUUUAUAUAUACAUACAUACAUAUAUAUAUAACCAUUUUUGAACUUACUGCGCUUUCCUUCUACCCCUUGAUCUUUAUUGUUUCAGUAGAUCCCUUUUCAUUCUGUUGUAUGGUGUAUAUUUUUUAGGUUAAGAAGCUGUACUUAAUUCUUAUUUCAGAAGAUGGCUCUUCUCAGAAUGAAAAGCAGAUUGCUAUGAAGGCAAUGAUUUGAUCCUUGUGGUUUGCUGUGAGCCUCGUAGCCUCUAGUGUAAACCUAUUGGAUCUUGUUUAACAGAGAAGCAGAGAAAGUACCACCCAUGCAAAUGCUGCUCAGAAACACCUACCAGGGAGAAAAAAGCUUCUGUAAGUAAAAGUAUUGUAUGACCUCUCAUUAUUAAAACAGACGCAGUGUAUUUGAGGGUAUAUUUAUACUGUGUUGAUUCUUAGAAGUUCCACUCAUUGACCAACAGCCACUCUUCUGGUUGUUGCAGUGUCAGGUGGGCACUGCCAUCCUGUUGUGCUCUCUUUAUGUGUGUUGCAAUCUUUAUUUUUUACUAAGGGAUUUACAAAAGCAGCUGACAUCCUGACAGAACCAGACAGUUCUAAAAUAUUACGGUUAAUAGAAAGUAACCAUAUUGUUCAUUGGGUCUGGAAAAAUAGAAAUUAGGAAAAUAAGGUCUUUCUAACGAAUGUUUUGGAUUGUGUACAGUCCAUCAAGGUAUCUCCUAUUAGAUGAGAUGACCCCCAGUGAAGAUCUUAUCCCUUCACGAAUUUGGAAUAGUUAUGGUUGGACCGGAUAAGAAAAGAAUACCUUUCUAUCAGAGAGCCCAUAAUUGGUGGUACCCAAAAGUGGGCCAAAGGCUUUGGCAUAUAUCUGUGUUUUCUGCCCUCUUGAAAAAAUGCCCUAUUUUCUCAGGCUUGCUUUUACACUUGGUAAAAAUUCUCUUCUUUGACCUUAGGUUUACACAUCUCACAUUUUCCAGGUGCUUUCUCUGAUGAUAUUUUUAUUGGUGUAUUUGUGGUAAGUGUGUUCUUGAAUGUCCCACAGAGUCGGCCAGAUAUACAUUCUGUUACUGCUCUCAGUGCAGAUGAAAGCUUCAAAGAAAGGGUAAUUUUCAGUGCUGAAGGUAUUAUACUUAGAGCUGCAACAGCUGGGAGAUGCAUCUGAGGGGAGCACUUGCUCAUCCCACAGCAAACCUAUAGGUUUAAUCCUGAAUCCAUAUACACAGUUUUGAUAAGGAAGCUUAGGUAUUGGGUAGAGGAUAGGAAAUAAUAGUUGUUCCAGAAUGGUGUGGACAUAGGUCCUGUCCUGUGUAUUCCAAACCAGAAGUGUUUUUCCUGCACUGCCCAUCUCUGUCUGCAUGACUGAGUCUUAUUUGUUCUACUGGGAUCCCUCUUGUUCCUGUGCAGCUGUAGCUGUAAGAGCUGACAUUUGCUGAUGAGCCACUUCUAAUUCAAAAAUUAGAAGAUUAACAAUGAGAUAAUUCAGCUAUCACAUUUAUGUAUUUGUUUAUACUCUUCUCUCAUUCACUGUAAUUACAUCAGUAUCUGCUGAAGGUUUCAGCAUCCCUACCCUCACUACUUUUCUGUCAAGGCAAUAUUUAUCUGCAGAGAAAGGUGUCAGUGAGAAAGCAGGAUUUCCUAUAUGUCUGAGGACAGACCUGUUUUGUGUGCUGCAUUUGAUGGUAGUCAGUCACGUGCCCAGAGACGGGUACAAAAGAGGUUAGCAAACAGUCGCUUUGCAGGCAUUUGUUGCUCAGGGGUUUUCUGAGGCAAUUAGCCUGCAGUAGUCAUUUGUUGCAUUUAUUUGUUGUUCCCAAUCAAGUAGGUUCUGGUAUAUGCCACAGUGUCUGGCGACACGUUUUUUUCUCUGUGCAACAUGUGAAGAACAACUUCUUGUUUGCUUUUUUUAACUUGCCACUCACUAAUUGCAUUGGAUGUAUUUUGGAUCAUGUUCCGACAAAGCCAAUAUCCUCUUUUUCUCCAUGCAACUUUUUGUUCAGUGGGACCGUGUCAACUUUUCCUCCAGCAUCUCUCUGCCUUCCCCACAUCUUAGUCACGCCAGGGACUUUGUACUGAUUUUUGAUGCUAUUUUUGGUGUGUGAUGUGAUAGUCCUAAUUUCUAGCUAAAGAGCAUCUACCAAUGAUUAUGUACAGUGUUCCUUAAAGUAACAAAAAAUCACUAGCGUGGCAUGUUCUGGUUUGCGUGUCUCCAUAUAUGAUGGAGAGCUUUGUUCAGAGUUCUGGCUGUAAAUUCAUACCAGUACCCUAAAUCCCCGCUAUCAGUGUCUUUGGGGUGAAACCCAGUCCUUGUGUCAGAAUAAUCCCUCCUCGCGCAAUCAUGUUGCCCUCUGUUGGUUAGCUUUGAUUCAGAAUGUUCCCAGGCUCGCUAAUUACCAGAGGGCUUAUUUAAAUUCCUGUGGAAGAGGCCUCAGUGUUUUACUCUGCAAUGCUCUGGUUCCUGUGCUGGCUGAGGGGUGCAUCCGUGCUUUCAGAGGAAAGGGUGGAAGCCUCUUUGUAGGUUGUGGUUGCAACCGUGUUCAUUUAUAAAGCUGGGUUUGAUUUCUCUUAACGAACACACAUUUUAAGGUCUGGAAUUCGUCGGUGUCAAGGUCAGUUAUUGAGAAGUUUGCAUUGCCUUUUUUUGAAGAAUUGAUCUGAAAGCAGCUAGAAUCAGAACUUCUUUUCCUGUGGGUUCAAUGUUUAUGUGCACGUAGGUUCCCAGUGGAUUCACAGGGAUGCCUGGUAAAGCCAGAUGGCACAAAAAAAGCCUACAGAAAGAAAAGAAGGCAAAAAGAAUGCUAGUUGCAUAGGGAGAUAUGAAAAACCUCUCCCUCUAAAUGCUGGAAAAUGGUUUUAUUAUAAACACAGAUAAUCUGAUGAAUUGAAAGGUUGGUGAGGAAGGAAGAUGAGAAUUUUUGGGGGCAGUAGAACAUUUUUCUUGUUGACUGAUUAAUCUGGAACUGCUCUGAAUGCAAAUGGAUUUCUGGGAUCCUCCCACUUUCUCAAAUACAUUCUGACUGCAUCUGACUGGUAAUGUGUUCAGGAUGAUUUUCUCAUAAGAUACAACUGAAGACCAAAGGUGAAGGAGGAAGACCGUGGCAGAGCUAGGACUAGCUUUCUUCUUUAGAGGGGUGAAUUGGAACGCUGGUCAGCAUGCUGCAGUGACUUGCAGACACGUUCAUCAAAGUCCUUGUACCUAAAUAGGCUAUGGAUGUGAGUAAUGCUUAUUUCUUCUCUGUUAUAAAAUGCUUGAGAUCUGUGGUUGGGAAACCAAGCACGUAAGUGCAGUCUACUGUUAUUGAUAGGAAUGAGUUUCAGAUGGCACAGCUGAAAAUGUGUCCCCUACUUUUCCUGGGAUGCUCUAUGGAUCAGACUCUAAGCAAAAACCAAGAAACCUGCUUCAGUUGGCACAGAUACUUGAUAUAAUAUGAUGAUUGGUUAGAGAUACUACCUGAUGGUAGUAGGUAAUACAGCUAAAUAUUACCAAAUAAUAGUAAUAAUGUUAAUAAAUCCACUUACAUAAAAGAAAAUAAAUAAGAGAACCCUGAAAUAAUAAUAACAAAAUCUUAAUCUUUUUAUGCUUCCAGAAUGAAGACGAUGUGGUCUCUUGGCACAAGAAUUUAUGAAACAACCCAUAAAGACCCACGGUACAGCAAUCUAAGGAGCAAACUCAAGAUGUUUGAUUGAGCAAUGCGUGUGCAUUUAUUCACACCUGGAAAGAACAGCUUUCUGUGUCAUUACAUGCAGUGUGAGAAUUUCAUGUAUUGAUCUCUGUAUAUACAUCACCUGAGGUUCCUUUAUUCUCUUGGUAAAACUUGCCAGGUGUGAUGCUGUUUGGAGGUCCUUUCUGUACCAGAUGAGGCACUGAGUGUUGAAGCAAGCAUCCCUCCUGGCCUUGUCUGCUUAAAUUUCUCAUCUGCUGUAAACCUCAGACUGAAAUUCUGCAGCGUGGGGAUGCACCGAAGUAGUGCUGGAUAAUAACUUAAUAAAAUAGAAGUAACGAAAGGGGAAUAAAAUAGCUCCCAAACAGUUAAGAGUGGGAUUCUGGUUUGUGUUGGAUCCUUGUCCUGAAAGCUUGGAGUGCUCAGAUCCACCUGAAGGAUCAAAAGUGUCCUCAAGCCCUUAAAUAGAUGACUCGGAAAUAGCUGAAAUGUGUUUCAUUUUAUGGUAAGUUUAAUGUUUCCAAUCUCAGUGCAAUUUACAAUUACAAUAAAUAUCACCAAAAAAUUAAUGUGGCCACUUCAAAUACAAAGGAACGACAGAGUGUAAUCUGAGAAAAUUUUAUCAACAUGCAAUUUCCUUAACAAAAACACCAAUGUAUCAUUUCAGCAUGCUGAGAAAUAUUUAUCUUUUGGGACAGCAAAAUCAUUUGCAGAACGUUUUAACUGCUAAAUAAAUAUUUUACUGGCAACUUCUGAGGCAUCAUAAAUGCAGUCAAUAUAAACAAAGCAAUGUGGAAUCCAGCUCCGGUCUCAGCUGCAAUGACUGUUGGCCACUUCGUGGUAACACAGGGCUCUGGGAUGCAUUUGGCACAGUCUCAGCAUUUCAAAUAUCUGAUUUGUUGGGUUUUUUGUUUUUUUUCCCCUGCUAUAUAAGCAAGUUUGCUUAGUUUAUCUGAAGGCUCUGGCAAUGGAAGGCACGGCGAGCUUUCAGUAUUAGGGAUGCAACUGUUUAGCAUUUAACAGAAACUCGUCUUUUCACAGUUAAAUCACAUUUUUUUUUAAUUGAAUCCUGUGCUUAUGAAAAAUACUGGAUCUGCAGCCUCAGACUGUCUGCUUGGCUGCAGAACAAGAACAUCAUGGCCAUGCUUGCUUGAACUUCCUCGUGGGCCCCUGCCAACGCGCUUCACCUCUGACCUGUAGCUGAGUUUUUAAAUGUCUUUUUUAUCUGUAGUCUCUUCCCAGACCGCCCCACUGAAAUGGCACUUCUAAGGAUGAUUUCAGCAAGUUUCAUCUGUGCACUGGAAGCAGAAACUUGUUGCAUGGAGGCAGCUGAAGAAUCACUUAUUCAUUACCAUGAGCGUCACUGCAGUCUUUACUGUCAAGGACUGCCGGUCACAUUUCCUCACAUCAACUCUGGGACAGAGCUAUGAUUUGUUGUAUUGCUAUUGGCCAUUUUAAGUGAUAGCUACCUGACUAAGCUAGGUAAUAAUUGCCUAUUUGUCACUAUAGGUGCUCACUUUGUGUUAUUUGUGUCUAAUAUACAAUGGCAUUAUGCUCCUAUUGAAUAUUUAUUGAAAAGCACAUCAAAUAUUUGAAGGCCUAUAAAUGUGUUCAUCUUCUGAAUUUAUCGAAGGAUCUCUGUUGACAGUCAUUGGUUUCAGUGCUGUAGUGGUUUCUUGCCUGCUCUAAUGUGGUGUUCUACCUGUUUGCCAGACAUUGCUGUUAAGCAAGUAACUGGUGAUAGCUGGAUAUCCUUCCAAGCUUAGGAAGAAGUUAUUGGCUGAAGCUGUUCUCCUUAUUAAUUUGACUCCUCAGAUUUAUGUGUCUGCAAAUGAUUUUCUUCUUAUCUCUGGCGGCUCCAGAAGAUAAUCCAGAAAUUAACUUUUCCUUGUAAAGAACUUCAUAGGAUGUUUUAGGAAAACGUGAAUAAGUAAAUGCUUAGUAGGUAGUUUGAGAUACCCUCAGCUCCUCUGGAUGCAAAGCAUUUACCACUGUGAUCUGACUUCUGUCAGUUCUCCAGGAGUGUUACUAUCUUUGCACAUUCAUCUCCUACUUCUAAAGAGAUCUUUUAGCACACAAAGCAGGAAAUGUAAGAAAACAGACAGGAUUUCCAAAGACAAGUUAGUCAUUUCACUGCAGAGUCUGGCCUUUGUUCCACGUCCAUAACAAGGCAGUGGUCUUUAAAACACGGUUGAAAAUUAGAGGAGAUGGCAUAAACGUUUGGUAAUUGCAGAGAGCCAGGGUGGUUCCUGCGUGGGCUGUUAGUCAGUGGCUGAAAACUGCUGCAGAAUGCAGUCUGUUGCUUGCUUAAUGCACAAUGAGCGUUCUCUGCAUAAGUAUCUUAAUUCACACAUCUAAAGGAACUCAGCCUGGGUUUAGCUGGGUACUUGUUAGCAACUUCUUCAGAAAUAAAGGGGUGGAAACUGUACCAUCAUCUGUGGCUGGAAGGUGAAGAUUUACUUAAAGCACUUCGGCUGAGGGGCAUCGAGAAAUGAGCACUGCUGCUGCCUGCAGGAGAGGACUCCAGCACUGCAGGGACACAGAACCUCAGGGAAGUCAUGCUGAGGAAAUGAUUCAUUUAACCUGCAGCUAUAUCGUUUGUAGAAGGUAAAGGCAAUAGGUGUGAAGAAAUGUUUGCUCAGAUCUGUGCUUUAUAUAGGUUCCAUCCUGGAUAACGUAUAUGAUAAUAUACUGAUAUGAGUAUAUCUCCUCUACAGCAUGCCAUGUUCUGACGUACUUGGGUGGCAUUUAGUGUACAGAUUACUCCUCCAUUCACAGACGUGGACUUUCCCUAGGUUAUCCACAUGUUCUGUAUUACGUUUCAGGGCUCACAGUUUAAUCUUUUCAUAAAUAAAGCUGUAGCCUUUUCUGGUAGCGAGAGAGGAAGCGAGGAAGAUUCCCUGCCCUUGAGGACCGAGCGUGGCUCUCAGUCCCCAGAAGGCUGGGAUUUUGUGCUGGCUAUUACCAAGUGUAAAAUGAAACACCUGUGUGCAGCAGCAUGCCAAGGCUGAGCCACCUGCAGCACACCUGCUAACUGCCUCACUGCAGUCGGGUCUGGGCAACGUGACAUCAUCUGAUUUCAUAUCUGUAAUUGAACAAAAGGUACGGGCUAUAGCUGAGCUCUUAUCCAAAAAAGAAGAGUUAACGCUGUAAAUACGCGUCUCUGUAAACAGAGAAACUUCUUUCCUGUUCUCAUUGAAUGGCAUGCUGUGAAACCAGAGUUGGCUGGAAACUUCUAGAAGCAGCUUGCUGGGGGCUGGGUUCGGCUGUGCCUCUGAAUGCCUCCGAGCAGGAAGCAGCUGGGUAACACUCCAGGUGAUUGCGCCCAUUGACUCCAUUUUCUCUCUCUAUUUGGAGUGUAGCAGUGGGUGAUACAUUUGCCUGCUGUCUGAGCUUAGUUCUCAAAGCUGGGAGCGGAGUUCACUUUGCCUCUGGAGCAGGACGUAACCCGGUCUCACACGAGGCACUGAAUGUCUACCACAGACUCGUGAGGUUUAGGUUUUUUAGCAGUGUAUCUGGAGGAUAGAAAUCUUCCAGUUUUUUAGCAGCUUUGAGGAGUAAGCAGUUUCCCCCCAGCGUGAUUAAAAACAUCAGAAGAAUGCUGCAUCAUAAAGCGAAGGAUGGAGGCUAUCUCCAGGACUGGAUUCUGAUCGGAUUCACGGCUUUUCCUAGAGCCAUAGGAAGGAGUUAAGAGAAAGCAAGCGCUUGCUGGUAUUCUGUUCCUUUGUCCCCUGCUCUGUGCUGCCAGAGUUGACACCUUCAGGAAGACUCUUAAGGGUAUGGUCUGGUAGUUGGUGGAUCCUCAACUGCUUCUAUGCUCUAAGAAGGGAAAAAUCUCAUACUGAACGGCUCAUCAAAACAGUG
ensembl:lncRNA